UAGAAGUUUAUAGCUAUGAAUUCUAGAUAA
rnacentral:piRNA from 1 species